AUGCCUUACACAUGCAAGUCGAACGGCAGCGCGGACUUCGGUCUGGCGGCGAGUGGCGAACGGGUGAGUAAUGUAUCGGAACGUGCCUAGUAGCGGGGGAUAACUACUCGAAAGAGUAGCUAAUACCGCAUACGCCCUACGGGGGAAAGGGGGGGAUCGCAAGACCUCUCACUAUUAGAGCGGCCGAUAUCGGAUUAGCUAGUUGGUGGGGUAAAGGCUCACCAAGGCGACGAUCCGUAGCUGGUUUGAGAGGACGACCAGCCACACUGGGACUGAGACACGGCCCAGACUCCUACGGGAGGCAGCAGUGGGGAAUUUUGGACAAUGGGGGAAACCCUGAUCCAGCCAUUCCGCGUGUGCGAUGAAGGCCUUCGGGUUGUAAAGCACUUUUGGCAGGAAAGAAAUCGCACGGGUUAAUAACUCGUGUGGAUGACGGUACCUGCAGAAUAAGCACCGGCUAACUACGUGCCAGCAGCCGCGGUAAUACGUAGGGUGCAAGCGUUAAUCGGAAUUACUGGGCGUAAAGCGUGCGCAGGCGGUUCGGAAAGAAGGAUGUGAAAUCCCAGGGCUUAACCUUGGAACUGCAUUCUUAACUACCGGGCUAGAGUAUGUCAGAGGGAGGUGGAAUUCCGCGUGUAGCAGUGAAAUGCGUAGAUAUGCGGAGGAACACCGAUGGCGAAGGCAGCCUCCUGGGAUAAUACUGACGCUCAUGCACGAAAGCGUGGGGAGCAAACAAGAUUAGAUACCCUGGUAGUCCACGCCCUAAACGAUGUCAACUAGCUGUUGGGGCCUUCGGGCCUUAGUAGCGCAGCUAACGCGUGAAGUUGACCGCCUGGGGAGUACGU
rnacentral:rRNA from 1 species